UACGAAGGGGGCUAGCGUUGCUCGGAAUCACUGGGCGUAAAGGGUGCGUAGGCGGUCUUUAAGUCAGGGUGAAAUCCUGGAGCUCAACUCCAGAACUGCCUUUGAUACUGAAGAUCUUGAGUUCGGAGAGGUGAGUGGAAUGCCGAGUGUAGAGGUGAAAUUCGUAGAUAUUCGGCGGAACACCAGUGGCGAAGGCGACUCACUGGCCCGAUACUGACGCUGAGGCGCGAAAGCGUGGGGAGCAACAGG
rnacentral:rRNA from 1 species